rnacentral:rRNA from 1 species
CGUGUAGGCGGGAGAUCAAGUCAGAUGUGAAAUACCGCAGCUUAACUGCGGGGCUGCAUUUGAAACUGAACUUCUUGAGUGAUGGAGAGGCAAGCGGAAUUCCUAGUGUAGCGGUGAAAUGCGUAGAUAUUAGGAGGAACACCAGUGGCGAAGGCGGCUUGCUGGACAUUAACUGACGCUGAGGCGCGAAAGCGUGGGGAGCAAACA